rnacentral:misc_RNA from 1 species
UCUGUUGUACAUCGCUGACAAUACGUUUGACGUUGAUCCAUUCCUAUCCACAGUGAAAAACAACAAAACAAAAGUUUAUUAUCUAAAUUUAGUCAAUUACCAUGUAUUACACAUGAAAAAAUGGUACAUAUUUAAGAAGUACACUAAAGCUUUAAACAUUCCUUCGGUCUAAUCAUUGUGAUAGAUAUAUAGGUUUAAUUAUGGAUAUAUUUGCUAUAUUUUUUGUAGCCCUUAUUUCAUUAAUUGCGGGUAUUAUAGUAACCCUUUGUAUACAGUAUUAUAUUUUCUAUGUUUACCUCAAGAAAAGUCCUUUAUCUAGUGGUACAACGCCAAAAAAAUCGUUUGAAUAUUAUUUACCAGAUGCAAUCAAACACCAGUUAGGAGCAGGGGAUAUGAGUGAUAAAAGUAAAGGAGGACUUGCCAUUAGCCUUAUAAUGCAGUUUUUAUUUCAUGAGCUAAGACACUCUGAAGCUAUAAAAAGAUGGUUGUAUAAAAAGUUGACAAUGGAAUUUGAUGAGCUUUUAACCAAAACUACAAUGGGAAAAUGCUUCGAUUCAAUAAGUAUUAAGGAUAUGGAUUUGGGAUCUCAGUUUCCAGACAUUAAAGAUAUUUCUGUAGAGAGUGUUAAAUUAGAUGAAAAAGAAGAGCACAUUGAAGUUCUGAAUCUUGGACUAAACGUAGAUUAUUCUGGCAACUUUUUGCUGUGCAUAGAUGCCAAAAUGAAAUUUAGUAAAACUGCCUAUCUUUCAAUUAAAGUAAAGAAAAUUUGUGGUUUUGCCAGACUUCAGUUUUCCAGACAGCCAUAUACACACUGGUCAUUCAGCUUUUAUACAGAACCUGUUUUGGAGCUGGCAGUAGAGUCUCAUUUUCAAGGCAGACAACUGCAAUCAAAUAUAACAAACUUAAUAGUCAAUCAGAUUAAAAAAGCUAUUAAAAGGAAGCAUACUUUGCCGAAUUACAAAAUUAGGUAUAAACCUUUCUUCGUAAAAACCGAUCCUAGUCAACUAGACAUUGACGAUAGUGAAAAUGCCCUGCAAGGAACACUUGAAAUGAAUGUAUCAGAAGUUUCCAGAUUGUCAUUACCAGAUAAUGCUCAAAAUAUUUAUCUAACUAUAGCUAUAGAUGCAAUUCCUUGGAUAUGUUUGUGCCAGAAAAAUGAAGCUAUGGUCAUGACAUUGGAGAUAACCAUGACAAAACUGAAACAAACGCAAUUAGGAGUGAUUUUUCGCCAAGAAGCAGGUUCAGUGGUUGUAGAUAGUGUGACCAGUAAUUCCUGCGCCUACCAUGCCGGGUUAAGGGCCGCUGAUGUGGUUGUUUCUGUGGAAAAUAAAUUAGUUACUACAGUUCCUCAAGUUGCCAAAUAUAUGAAGUCCGUAUCAGGAACUAAUGUUACUUUACGAGUGGAAAGGGCUGUUGAGAACUACAUUACGAAGUGGAAGCUUAAUGAUGAGAAAGAACCACCUAUAACAAUAGCAUCUGAAGUAAAAUGUGAAGACAGCGAGACAGAGCUGACUCAACAAGAACAGGAAUCUUUUGUUAUUAUAGAAAACAUAAAAAAAGAAGAGCGGAAGGCCCGGGCUCAGAAAAUAAUUCCCAGCAAUGAGAACAUGGCCAAGCUGGCACAAACUAUCAGCAGUUUCAGUUUGAGGAAACGAAAAAUCUUAGGCGGAGGAGCGUCACCAAAUACUCCGCAACGAUCGCGCGUUCCUCCUGCCAAAAAGAAUUCCACUUCUGAUUUGCCAGAAAUUGUACGAACUGAAGUGGAUAGUCUGGAAUGCGAACAUAUUUUUUCAGCUAUUGAAAUAUUUAAAGGGAAAGAACUACGCCUUGACAAUGUUCUGCCCUUCGAUGACGAUUUUCGCUUUAUAAUCAAAGAAGGCGCGAAAUACAUUAAUGUAAACGCUUGGGCAACAUUCAACGACUCUCCUGAUGUUCUUCUGGGCUACUUAAAUAUUCCCUUAAAUUACGUUGCUUCUGAAUGUUCAUCCAGCGUGCUGGGACAUCACUCUAGACGAUAUUCGUUUUUGCCACCAGGUGUAACGUCCACAGCCACAGUGCACCCUCUUAGGGCACAUUCAGGGUUUGAGCAUGUAUUUUGCUUCGGCGAUGCCCUUUUAACGUUCGCUUGGUCGCCCAUCGAGAAUCCUGAAUCGCGAAGAAAAACUUCAACAGCGGUUGAUAAUAAGACUGAUGUUUCUGGAAUAAGAAACAAACACGACUUUGUAAGGACGCAGUUCCACGGAACGACACAUUGCGAUUUUUGUUCAAAAAAGAUAUGGCUGAAAGAUGCUGUUCAAUGUAGACAAUGUGGUAUGUGUUGCCACAAAAAAUGUGUUGCAAAGUGUCAGACCAGCAGCAGUUGUAGCGCUGACUCGUCGGCGCUUCCUAAGACUGUUGAUGCCCCUCUUAUUGAUGCUGUUCUUCAACCUGAUGGAUGCUUUGAUGACGCUGAAGGGAUGGAAAGCAACUUGAAAAGGGUUAAUAGUGUGACAAAUCUUAGUAUUCCAGGUCAUUUCGAGUCCUCCGGAUGAAAAUUUAAUGGACAACGCAAAAGAAAGUGGUCAAAAAAUGUACGUCCAUUUGGAAAUCGAAGAAAAGAGAGAGAAAAUCAAUUUGAUGAUGGCCGAAUUGAAGAAAACGUUAGACCUAACAACAACAGAGCAUAUGGAACUAACCAAGAAAAUGAACUUGGAAGAAUCGGAAGUCGAAAAAGCCAAAUUAGCCUUUCUGGUAGGCCAAGCAGAUGCCAAAGUACAUGCACUGUCCGUGCUGAUGUUGCACUACUG